GGUUCCGCCCUGGGUGGGGAGAAGCCCUGCUGCACCACUCGGGCUUCCCAGAGCGGGGCUGGCCCGCGGGGGAAACUGAGGCCCGGGACCCCGACCGGCGCCUGCACUGCGCUGGUAGGAGUGCUGUCACCGACGUCGUAGAGCCGCCGAGGGUGUUUCUGUAGGGUAAACAUGAAGCCUCGGCUAUAUUCCAGGCAUUUUCACUUGGAAACAUUUUACAUAAAGUAUUUGAAGGUCUAGAUAAAGAAUAACAGAGUGAUCCAUACUACAUGAUGAGGAGCUGUCCAAACACCAUGCAGAUGCUCCUAGGAUUCUUAAACUAGCCAAAAAUAAUUCCAGGCAUUGUCAGAUAUAGGAUAAGUACAUGAAGACAGCAUUAGUCGCAGUAGCGAAGACACGGAAACAACCUAAGUGUUCACCAACAGAUGAAUGGAUGAAGCAAAUGUAGCAUAUAUACACAGUGGAAUACUAUUCAGCCUUUAAAAAGAAGGAAAUCUGGCUAACUGCAACAACAUGGAUGAACCUGGAGGAUAUUAUAUAAGUGAAAUAAGCCAGGCAUGGAAAGUUUUUGUAGAGAUGAAGUCUUGCUGUGUUGCCCAGGCUGGUCUCCAACUCCUGUACUCAAGCUAGCUUCCUGCUUUGGCCUCCCAAACUGCUGGAAUUAAGUUGUCUGCCCUAUUGCUCAACAAGAUAAAAUGUCUGGGCUGGUGGCUGGAGGCUGGAGGAAGAAUCUGGAAAGAGAGAGAGACUGUGGAAAAGGCAUAGAAAGACCUUUGAACUAGCAGAACAUAUUUCUUUGAGGGACUUAGGAACUUCAUUCUGG